AGUGAACGCUGGCGGUAGGCCUAACAAAUGCAAGUCGAACGGCAGCACAGUAAGAGCUUGCUCUUACGGGUGGCGAGUGGCGGACGGGUGAGGAAUACAUCGGAAUCUACUUUUUCGUGGGGGAUAACGUAGGGAAACUUACGCUAAUACCGCAUACGACCUACGGGUGAAAGCAGGGGGUCUUCGGACCUUGCGCGAUUGAAUGAGCCGAUGUCGGAUUAGCUAGUUGGCGGGGUAAAGGCCCACCAAGGCGACGAUCCGUAGCUGGUCUGAGAGGAUGAUCAGCCACACUGGAACUGAGACACGGUCCAGACUCCUACGGGAGGCAGCAGUGGGGAAUAUUGGACAAUGGGCGCAAGCCUGAUCCAGCCAUACCGCGUGGGUGAAGAAGGCCUUCGGGUUGUAAAGCCCUUUUGUUGGGAAAGAAAAGCAGCAGGUUAAUACCCCGCUGUUCCGACGGUACCCAAAGAAUAAGCACCGGCUAACUUCGUG
rnacentral:rRNA from 1 species